GAGUUUGAUCCUGGCUCAGAUUGAACGCUGGCGGCAUGCCUUACACAUGCAAGUCGAACGGUAACAGGGAGCUUGCUCCGCUGACGAGUGGCGAACGGGUGAGUAAUGUAUCGGAACGUACCAUUCAGUGGGGGAUAACGUAGCGAAAGUUACGCUAAUACCGCAUAUUCUGUGCGCAGGAAAGCAGGGGAUCGCAAGACCUUGCGCUGAUUGAGCGGCCGAUAUCAGAUUAGCUAGUUGGUGAGGUAAAAGCUCACCAAGGCGACGAUCUGUAGCGGGUCUGAGAGGAUGAUCCGCCACACUGGAACUGAGACACGGUCCAGACUCCUACGGGAGGCAGCAGUGGGGAAUUUUGGACAAUGGGGGCAACCCUGAUCCAGCCAUGCCGCGUGAGUGAAGAAGGCCUUCGGGUUGUAAAGCUCUUUCAGCCGGGAAGAAAAUGCAUGGGUUAAUACCCUGUGCAGAUGACGGUACCGGAAUAAGAAGCACCGGCUAACUACGUGCCAGCAGCCGCGGUAAUACGUAGGGUGCGAGCGUUAAUCGGAAUUACUGGGCGUAAAGCGUGCGCAGGCGGUUUUGUAAGACAGGCGUGAAAUCCCCGGGCUUAACCUGGGAACUGCGUUUGUGACUGCAAGGCUAGAGUACGGCAGAGGGGGGUGGAAUUCCACGUGUAGCAGUGAAAUGCGUAGAGAUGUGGAGGAACACCAAUGGCGAAGGCAGCCCCCUGGGUCGAUACUGACGCUCAUGCACGAAAGCGUGGGUAGCAAACAGGAUUAGAUACCCUGGUAGUCCACGCCCUAAACGAUGUCAACUAGGUGUUGGGAGGGUAAAACCUUUUAGUACCGUAGCUAACGCGAGAAGUUGACCGCCUGGGGAGUACGGCCGCAAGGUUAAAACUCAAAGGAAUUGACGGGGACCCGCACAAGCGGUGGAUGAUGUGGAUUAAUUCGAUGCAACGCGCAGAACCUUACCUGGGUUUGACAUGCUUGGAUGCCUUUCCGGAAACGGAGUAGGCUGCCCUUCGGGGUGAAACUUGCACAGGUGCUGCAUGGCUGUCGUCAGCUCGUGUCGUGAGAUGUCGGGUUAAGUCCCUUAACGAGCGAAACCCUUACCGUUAGUUACCAGCGGGUCAUGCCGGGAACUCUAGCGGGACUGCCGGUGUUAAACCGGAGGAAGGCGGGGAUGACGUCAAGUCAUCAUGGCCUUUAUGCCCAGGGCCUCACACGUGCUACAAUGGCCGGUACAAAGUGACGCAAGACCGCAAGGUGGAGCAAAUCACAAAAAACCGGCCCCAGUUCGGAUUGUAGGCUGGCAACUCGCCUGCAUGAAGUUGGAAUCGCUAGUAAUCGUGGAUCAGCUAUGCCACGGUGAAUGUGUUCCUGAGCCUUGUACACACCGCCCGUCAAGUGAUGGGAGUUGGAAGUACCCGAAGUCGGGUUGUCAACCGCAAGGAGACGCCUGCCGACGGUAAGUCCGACGACUGGCACUAAGUCU
rnacentral:rRNA from 1 species